CUUCGAUUCUCUUCAAUCCAUUCCAUAAAUAUUUUUCUCCUUUUCCUUUUUUAUCUUUCUUCUUCAAUAAAUCUAGCUGUGCCUUCAUCCGCCUACAGCCGCCAUCAAUCAGUAUCCCAAGCUAGAUCCUUUUCUCACGCAGGUCAAAUCUACCUUCUUCAAGUCUCUCUUCAAUUAUUUUCACCACAUUUUUUCAUAUUUCUCCGAUUCGGACACCGUUCUUCGGAAGGUUCCGGUAAUUUGAACUUCAUUACAGGUUUCAGUUAUUGCAUUGAACUCAACAUGACUGCUCUGCUAGAUUCUGGUUCAUAACAAUUGAGUUUAUAGAGUGUUCUUUGUUAAUUUUGGGAAUCACUUUACAUCUAUGGGAUUUCUGGGUUCUGGCAAGCCGUUUGGUAAUGUCUCAAGACAGUUCAGACCCUUCUUCGGCUUGCUGCUCAAGAUCGGAUCAUUUGGAUUCGGCUUCAGCUGAACUCAAGCUUUACCGAGCCUUCAUUUUCUCUGUACCCAUCUUCUUCACUUUCAUCCUCCUCUUUCUGUUCUACGUGUUUUACCUUCGACCUCGAAGGGUUGAUUGGUCGUCUCUUAGGAUGAGAGCUUUUGCGGCUGCGGAGGAUAAUGGCGGUAACUCCAGGCCUGAAUUGGGCUUGAAGAAAGAGCUGAGAGAGAUGCUACCGAUUAUCGUAUACAAAGAAAGCUUCUCGGUUAAGGAUACACAAUGCUCAGUUUGCCUUUUGGACUACCAACCAGAGGAUAAGCUUCAACAGAUACCUGCAUGCGGCCAUACAUUUCACAUGAGCUGCAUUGAUCUUUGGCUCACUAACCACAGCACCUGCCCUCUAUGCCGCUUGUCUCUUCUAGCUUCUGCUAAAUCUUCAACUGAGACAUCUAAUUUACAGAGGCCGUCUGGCAAUGAAGAAACACCAACUGCUCAAUUCUCUGAAUCAAGAUCUACAACGCAUCCAGAUAAUAGUGUAGCUGUGUAGCCCAAAAUUGCUCUAGAGAUAAUUCAAGCAGUGCCCACUGCAUUGAUGUUGAAAGAGGAAAUGCUGAAAGCAGUUAGAAGAGGUGUGAAGACAUGAGAGGCUUGUUAUGAAUACAAUGUUGAGGUGAGCAUUGCCAAUUACAUAAUUUAAAAACUAUUUCAGGUAAGUUUGAAUAUUGAAUAGCUUCUACUUUUUUAAAUUUAAGACCUGUAGUGCUGCAUACUACGGUUUCCUUAAUUUUUUUUCUCUAGGAUUUUAUUUUUUCAACUUUUCUGUCUACUUAGAUCUUUAUUCUUGACAAACUACAACUCUAAGCUGACUUUUCCUUACUAUUAUUGUCCUUACAGAGAAGGACCGUAUCACUUUACAAUUAGCUACUAAUGAAAGAUGUAUAUUUAGCAAAUAGUAAUAAACUAGUAGUAACUUAAGUUUGUCACCCUUUCAUAUGUGUCUCCUGCUUGGUCUUUUUCAUAAGGCCAUGUUAACUACUUUCAUUAGAUCAUGGAAAUUAGUAAAAAGUAAAUUUUGUGAAGGUCCUAUGUUAAGGAUCAAUAGGUAAGAGUUAAGACCUUGUAAAUAGACCGGCAAGAGUAGUUCCAUUUUAUUGGAUGUUUUCAAAGGGACAUCAGGUUCCUGUUUGAUGUUAUAUUACUCUCUCUCUCUCUCUCUCUCUCUCACAUAUCUUACCCUAGAAGACAGAGUUUACUUUAGAUGUGCUCAUUACUUGUUAGUGAUUAGUUUCUUUUUUAGUUUAUUUAGUGAAUGUAUUUUUGGACUUUGUCCGGCUCCCUCUUGGGGAACCUCUUAGGGCAAAACUUUGAUAUUUCCUUAUUGAAUUAAGGAUUUUAGCCCUUGGCCUGAGUAUUCCUGUGAAGAUUCAUAUCAAUAUUGGUAAUGAGAGAUAUUAUAUCUUAUCAACUGA